GGCCGAAAGGCGAAAGUGAGAUUUCAAGGGCCGGGUCUGGGGCCCCGCGGGCGCGCAGUGCUGCGACGUGUGGGGAGUACGGGGAGGCUGGAGAGGAGCCGGCCCCGGGCAGUGUGAGGUGCGGAAGCGCGGUCCAGACACUUUGCUGACGGGAGGCCGGUCCGCCAGAUCCGGGAGGUGGGGCCUCGUUCUGGACUGCUGAUUUUCUUCACAGAAAUCAUGCCGUCUGUGAAUGAAGGGAGUUAUACUUCUUAUUUUCCAAAUGGAGAUUUUAUUUUUCUUGCAUGACUUCACUGGCUAGAACCACUACUACAAUGCUGAUUAGAAGUGAUAAGAAACAGAGGCAAAUGCAGGUUGAGGAACCUCACAGUAAGGGAUAAAACGCAUAUUUUAACCUGAUCUGCCUGAUUCUGGAGCCUGCACCAUCAUUCCAUUGUCGUGCUUGCCACAUGUCUCUUUGAGGCUUGCUAAAAUUGAUAUCCAUGAGUUCUAUCAAUUCUGGGACAGAGAACAAAUUGUGUUCUGUAAGGAUGGAGGGACAGUGAGGAAUUUGCCAAGACAUUUUGGAGUUUCUGAAAUAAAACCCACUUGAUCCCUUCUAUGUUCAUCUCCUGUGCUGGAUUUGAUUCAUUAAUAUUUUAUUUCAGUUUUUAAAUCUGUAUCUAUAAAUGACAUUCACACACCA
rnacentral:antisense_RNA from 1 species